AGUCCCAAAAGCCCUGACUAAAGUGGGUUGGGACAAGGUUACUAUUGGUUUAGCCUUUUUAGUAAAAAGUCUUUUUCUCUCUGCAAAUUGAAAGUCCUCGAAACUUCUUCUUCUCACUCAUAACCUCGUCCCUUCUUUCUUCUCCUCCAUCAAAUACAUUGAAAACUCUUUUUCUUUAUGCGAAUCGAAAGUUUUUCCCGAUACUUCUUCUCACCCAAGAGCCUCCACGAACAUCGCCACUAACCUCGUCACUCUCUUCUCUCUUAAGAACUCGUCAAAUACGUUCUUCGUAGAACAAACCUACUUUCGCAUUUGAAUUUCACUUCCACUAAGUCUUCUUUUUUCUUUCUUUUUAUUUUUGUUGAGGUUUCUUUUCUACUUGAUUGGUGGCCAAACUACAUUUCUCAUGCCCCUUAUGAGCGAAAAUAGUGGAUUCAAUCAUUCUAUGUAAUGAUUUUUAUUAUUGUUCCAGGACAAAGGUACUUGGAGCUCAAACAAAUUCAAGUGGGACCCAGAAUUGAAGAGGCCCGGUAAUGUUUUAAAACUAGUUGCUUAAUAUGAUCUAAAAUAUUUGGUCUAUUGUUGUACAAUGUUGGGUGAAAUUAUGUUAAACUCCAUUCAUCUUUACAAUUAUGUUAAACUCAGAGAUGUUCAAUUUUGUUGUCGAGAGUGGUUAUGGGUGCAUGGGUGGUGGCAAGUCAAUGGAGACAGGGCCUUAAAACAACACACUACUCUCUUCCUUUUUUCAGCAAGAAGGGUCACUUGUUUCAGUUUAAUCUACACAAGCAAAUAUGUCUAAUAUGAUAGAGCUGAGAGUCCCAAAUCUUGAUUAUGAAGGAUGUGCUUCAAAACUAAAGAAAGCUCUCUUCAAACUCAAAGGUGUAUUUUUGAAUAAGCAAUUAUGUGUUUUUUUUUUUCUGGUAUGCACAGUGUUACUGAUAUUGCUUGAACUGCAAAAUGAAACCACUGUCAGAAGUUUCAUGGUUCCAUAUUUAUUUCUAAACUUUUUUUUUUUCUUUUUGUACAUUAAUCACUUAUCUUGAAUGUAUAAAAAGAAAUGGCAGUCUCUGUUUCUGGUUUCCAUUAGUUUUGUUACAGUUUGAAUGAAAGCAUAUGCAUAGGCAUUAUUUAUCUUUUUCUUUGUUUGAACAAAUGAGCAUGACCAAUAUUGAACGGUGUGAAGAGGAAGUUCAUAACUAAUAUCCAUGUCAGCAAAGUCUGUAACAUCAAAUUUUAUACCAAAGUAAUUUAAACCCAUUAGCUAAUUGAAACUUCUGGAUUUUUCUCAGUAAGACCUCUGCACUUCACUCCACCACGGACCACAAUAAAAAUGGGGCGAAUUACACUCACACUCCCUAAUCUUUAAAUUAAUUUCAAUUUAAAUAAAAAUGGACCUCUAAACUAUUUUACUUUCUUUUAUCAGAUGAAUAAAUAAAGUGUUUUGUUAAGUUAGAUAUAUAUUUCGAAAGAAGUUGUUAAAUAUAAACAUAAUGCUUACUGAUACAUGAGAAACAUAUUAAGUGGCUGUAAUAUGCCAAGUUAUAUUCAGAAUA